rnacentral:rRNA from 1 species
AUUGAACGCUGGCGGCAGGCCUAACACAUGCAAGUCGAGCGCGCGGCGGACGGGUGAGUCAAGUCUGGGACACUGCCUGAUGGGGGGGGAUAACUACUGGAAACGGUAGCCAAUAUCGCAUACCAUCAGAUGUGCCCAGAUGGGAUUAGCUAGUAGGUGGGGUAACGGCUCACCUAGGCGACGAUCCCUAGCUGGUCUGAGAGGAUGACCAGCCACACUGGAACUGAGACACGGUCCAGACUCCUACGGGAGGCAGCAGUGGGGAAUAUUGGACAAUGGGCGAAAGCCUGAUGCAGCCAUGCCGCGUGUGUGAAGAAGGCCUUCGGGUUGUAAAGCACUUUCAGCGGGGAGGCGUUACCCGCAGAAGAAGCACCGGCUAACUCCGUGCCAGCAGCCGCGGUAAUUC